rnacentral:rRNA from 1 species
UACAGAGGGUGCGAGCGUUGUCCGGAAUUACUGGGCGUAAAGCGCGCGUAGGCGGCUUUGCAAGUCGGGUGUGAAAUCCCCAGGCUUAACCUGGGAACUGCAUUCGAGACUGCAUUGCUAGAGUAUGGGAGAGGGAAGUGGAAUUUCCGGUGUAGCGGUGAAAUGCGUAGAUAUCGGAAGGAACAUCAGUGGCGAAAGCGACUUACUGGACCAAUACUGACGCUCAUGUGCGAAAGCGUGGGGAGCAAACAGG